rnacentral:rRNA from 1 species
UACGGAGGGAGCUAGCGUUGUUCGGAAUUACUGGGCGUAAAGCGCGCGUAGGCGGCUUUGUAAGUUAGAGGUGAAAGCCCGGGGCUCAACUCCGGAACUGCCUUUAAGACUGCAUCGCUUGAAUCCGGGAGAGGUGAGUGGAAUUCCCAGUGUAGAGGUGAAAUUCGUAGAUAUCGGGAGGAACACCAGUGGCGAAGGCGGCGACCUGGACGGACACUGACGCUGAGACGCGAAAGCGUGGGGAGCAAACAGG